GUGAGGGAAAGAUGAAAAGCAUUUUGGAAAGAGAGUUAAAAGUACGUGAAAUUGUCGAAAGGAGAGCUCUUAAAGUCACCCAUUCCGCUUGACUCUCAGCCGGGCUUUUGCUUGGUGUAUUUCUCGGUAGCAAGCCAGCAUUGGUUUGUGUCGUCGGAGAAGCGUAUAGGGAAUGUGGCAUCCUCGGAUGUGUUAUAGCCCUGUGCAGGAUACGACGACGUAGAUCAAGGAACGCAGUGUGCCCUCUAGCGGGUCUUCGGACACCUUCACACUUAGGAGCUG
rnacentral:rRNA from 1 species